GACGAACCGUGCGAACGUUGUUCGGAAUCACUGGGCUUAAAGGGUGUGUAGGUGGCGCGCUAAGUCGGGUGUGAAAUUUCGGAGCUUAGCUCCGAAACUGCAUUCGAUACUGGCGUGCUUGAGGACUGGAGAGGAGACUGGAAUUCAUGGUGUAGCAGUGAAAUGCGUAGAGAUCAUGAGGAAGACCAGUGGCGAAGGCGGGUCUCUGGACAGUUCCUGACACUGAGACACGAAGGCCAGGGGAGCAAACGGG
rnacentral:rRNA from 1 species